rnacentral:rRNA from 1 species
UACGGGGGGGGCAAGCGUUGUUCGGAAUUACUGGGCGUAAAGGGUUCGUAGGUGGCCAACUAAGUCAGACGUGAAAUCCCUCAGCUUAACUGGGGAACUGCGUCUGAUACUGGAUGGCUUGAGUUUGGGAGAGGGAUGCGGAAUUCCAGGUGUAGCGGUGAAAUGCGUAGAUAUCUGGAGGAACACCGGUGGCGAAGGCGGCAUCCUGGACCAACACUGACACUGAUGAGCGAAAGCCAGGGGAGCAAACGGG